AGUUGCCAGAGCAACGCUGCCAGUGUCCUGCAGCCAGGAAAGGGUUCAAGUGCUGCAGGUAACUUAAAUGGACGGGGAAACUGAGGCUGUCCGCCAUGCCCCGAGAGGAGCUGGUCAGCUGCUGAGUUGACUUGCACACGGCCUGAUACUUCGUGGAGGACCCCGCGGCGUGAUGGUGGAAGCCUUUAUCAUCUGUUUCUGCGGCCCAGGAAACCGCCCUCAGCCAAGGCUGCAGGAGAGCAGAGGGGUGCAGGGCACACAGCCCGCGACGCACGGCCACGCAGGCGGGCGGGCGCGGAGCAGGACGGCAGAUAAGACCACGAGGGCGGUUGCAGACGCACCACGGGAGCAAACAAGAUCCUCAAAUCAGCACUUGUCCUAUUUCAUAAGCGAAAUGUAG